CUUGGUCAUUUAAGGAAGUAAAAGUCGUAACAAGGUUUCCGUAGGUGAACCUGCGGAAGGAUCAUUACUGAGCGCGAGGCCCCGCAGCGCGCAAGCGCUGCGGCGGUUGACCCUCCACCCGUGUGAACUCUUAUCUGUUGCUUUGGCGGGCCGGGCUCGACCUGCCGGCUCCGGCUGGCGAGUGCCCGUCAGAGAAGCCCCAACUCGUGCUGUGAGUGUUGUCUGAGGAAAUGUGGAAUUAGUAAAACUUUCAACAACGGAUCUCUUGGCUCUGGCAUCGAUGAAGAACGCAGCGAAAUGCGAUAAGUAAUGUGAAUUGCAGAAUUUAGUGAAUCAUCGAAUCUUUGAACGCACAUUGCGCCCCCCGGCAUUCCGAGGGGCAUGCCUGUUCGAGCGUCCCGGCUGGCGAGUGCCCGUCAGAGAAGCCCCAACUCGUGCUGUGAGUGUUGUCUGAGGAAAUGUGGAAUUAGUAAAACUUUCAACAACGGAUCUCUUGGCUCUGGCAUCGAUGAAGAACGCAGCGAAAUGCGAUAAGUAAUGUGAAUUGCAGAAUUCAGUGAAUCAUCGAAUCUUUGAACGCAACUUGCGCCUUUUGGUAUUCCGAAAGGCAUGCCUGUUCGAGCGUCAGAACACCCCUCAAGCCUGGCUUGGUCUUGGGGCUCGCCGGCUCGGCGGCCCCUAAACGCAGUGGCGGUGCUGUUGUGCUCUCCGCGUAGUCAUGUAUCUCGCGACAGAGCGGUGACGGCACCCGCCAGAACCCCAGUCUUUGGAUGACCUCGGAUCAGGUAGGGAUACCCGCUGAACUUAAGCAUAUCAAUAAGCGGAGGA
rnacentral:rRNA from 1 species